rnacentral:lncRNA from 1 species
AUGAGUUUUAAACCUCACGAGUGCUGGGCUCUGCCUUGGGAGCCCUGGUGGGGCCGGGAGCAAGGCAACCCCAGGGACCCUUGCCUCUGGUGUCAGCAGAGCGGUGCUGGCGUCUCGGUGCCGUCUAUAUGGGAAAUGUUGGUUUCCAUAGGAACGGCCUGUGGCAGCGCUGGCUUUUGGGGGAGGUGGCAUCUGGAUGGUGGCAGGAGCCUGGCGUGGCUGCGCCUCGCUAACUCAGUCUCCCUCCCUCUGCAAACAUUGGAUUUAAACCUGCUCAGAAUUCAGCACAGACGAAAGCGGCAGCAGCGGCGGCGGCGGCAGCAGCAGCAAGCAGCAAGCAAAUCAGCCGCUAGCCUAGUGCAGCUCCAAGAUGUACCAUCCUGCCUGCUGGAUCGUCUUCACCGCCACAACUGCCCUGCUCUUCAUCCCAGGAAGCUGGCGCCAUAGUCUGCAGCUGUGUAGCGAAGCAGAGAAGAGAGAGAGAUAAGAUGGAGAGAGAGCAGCGUCGAGGAAUGAGUUAGGCCUAUAAUAGACCAUCUUCCUUGAAAGAAGCUGUUACUGAAAACCCUCCUCUAUUAUCGUGCACCGAGAGGAGAAAUGAGGCAGUGGGCAUGGCGUCGGUUUGCAUUUGGAAGCUUCCACGUCGCAAAUCGUUUAAUGGGGUCCCCUCAGCACUGCUCAUGUGCCUGGGAAGCGCUGUGCCGACAGGGUGCCCAGCCGGGCUGCGUGGCGUGGAUGUGUCCCAGGGCUGGGGGGAUGCCCGUGGGUGGCAGUGGAAAUGACAGAGGGGGAGAGAUGGGCUGAAAUAGUCCAAUUUUGCACGGUUUUGGAUGAGGAUCAGCUCCAAAAUUCAGCUUUAAGCUUCUGACGCAGGCUGGCGUUUCAAUGGGAACAUCUCAGCCUGCUGGGCUCUGGCGUGCCCGGGGCUGAGUGUCACUUAGACGAGGGCUCUCGGAGAGCCAAAGCAGACCGACCCUUUGGCUUCACCCACGUCUUCGGGUGUGCGAGGAGGUUUUGCCCGAUCCUGGUGAUUGAUGGUCCACGUUUCACACCACGCCACUUCGGGGAGUUCUGGCGAUGCCUCUGAGCGUGAGCCCUUGUGUGAGACGCGCACACACGGGUUUACAUCCCGCUAAGUAAAAGCAAAGACGAGAAAAUCUUGCCAGUGAGUCCAAACUUCAUUUUUCUGCCUAACCUGCAUGCCGCCCAAGGCACGGCUAAGGUUAAAUCUUUCCUUUUCAUCCCCGACUUCUGCGAAGACUGGAUGGCUUCGCUAAGUGUGAUUGGAGCAGUUUGUUUUUAAGCUCCACAUAAGCACUAUGCUGGAUUUAUAGCGUUUUCAUUCUUUCUGAAUCGACCCGCUGGGAGCCAUUAAACUUUUAUUGCUCUCUGCAGUUGCCUGGCCGGAGCGGGAUGGAGCGGCCUGCUGCUGGAAACGCUCCGUCCU